rnacentral:rRNA from 1 species
AUACACGCACACACACACACACACUCACGAC